rnacentral:lncRNA from 1 species
ACUUCCUUUGAUCAAAUGGUGGUAGGGAUGGCUGUGGAGCAGCACGAUGAACUAAGCAGUGUCUGAAACCACAUAGCUCCUACCCCAGAGGUCAGAAAACAGCUGAAGGGUGGAAGACCUGACUAACUGUGGUGUAAAAACAUUUGCCUAAAACUGCUUUUACAGGCUCACUUGCAGACACAGUUUGAGAAAAGGCUCUUGAGGGAUUUCAGACCAGGGAGCUUGAUAUCUAUGCUGAACAAAUUAUAAGCUAUAAUAAAGGAAAAAAAUUGAUUGCCAUGCAGUAACAUCUAAUUACCAGGGAAGAGCCAUCAUAGCUUUUAUAAAGGGAUGCUGUGUCUCACAGUCCUUCUUUGAAGGAGUCAACAAGCACAUGAACAGUGGCCCACGUGGAUUUCCAAAAGGGCUCUCCACCAAUGGUGCUUAAAGAAACUGAAAUAAAAGGUGCUAACCUGGAUAAAAAGUGCCUACAAGAUAGGACAGAGAAUGAAGGUAGAUGCUUUGUUUUCACAGUGGAGUUGUAAAACACCAGUGCUGGGGCUUGGACUGUUUGACUUAUUCAUGAUGGAUGAAUAAUAAUAAAAUAACAAAUAUGUUGGAGAAAUAAGAUUAUUCAAGUUAGAAAAGAUGAGGCUUGGCUGUGAAAAACUGCAGAGGUUAAGAGAAGUGUGAGUGACUGGCCUCAAAAUAACAUCAUCUAGCAAGUGGUGAGAAAAGACUAUCUGAGCUGACCAUUACCCUUUGCAAGUGAGAUCUACACCUACUCAACUCAACUCAUCAACAUUGUGUAUGCUUUGAGCACCCCACCACAAGGCUCACAAAGGCUGUAACAGAAGUGGAAAGGUGCUGAGAAGGGCAACAAGGAUGUUCAAAAGAACAGAACAGCUCCUCUGUGAGGAACAACUAUGAAGACAAGGACCCUUUUGCCUCAAAAAAAACCCAACAAAACCCAAAACAAAACAAAAAGAAGUUACUGAAGGGAAUAUGGCAGAUAUUUAUAAAACCACCAGUGAUAAGGUGAAGGUGAAUAGGGACAUUUUUACCACUGUCUCUUCCAGCACUAAAACUAGGAACUGAAUCUAGCAGGUGGU